CACGUAGGGGGCAAGCGUUGUCCGGAUUUAUUGGGCGUAAAGAGCUCGUAGGCGGCUGAGUAAGUCGGAUGUUAAAUCCCUAGGCUCAAUCUGGGACACUAUCCGAUACUGUUCUGGCUAGAGUCCGGUAGGGGAGCGUGGAAUUCCUGGUGUAGCGGUGAAAUGCGCAGAUAUCAGGAGGAGCACCAGCGGCGAAGGCGGCGCUCUGGGCCGGAACUGACGCUGAGGAGCGAAAGCGUGGGUAGCAAACAGG
rnacentral:rRNA from 1 species